rnacentral:rRNA from 1 species
AUCCUACGGGACGCAGCAGUGAGGAAUAUUGGUCAAUGGGCGAGAGCCUGAACCAGCCAAGUCGCGUGAGGGAGUACUGCCCUAUGGGUUGUAAACUUCUUUUGCCGGGGAGCAAGGGCCGGGACGCGUCCCGGCCCGGAGAGUACCCGGAGAAAAAGCAUCGGCUAACUCCGUGCCAGCAGCCGCGGUAAUACGGAGGAUGCGAGCGUUAUCCGGAUUUAUUGGGUUUAAAGGGUGCGUAGGCGGGCUUUUAAGGCAGCGGUAAAAAUUCGGGGCUCAACCCCGUCCGGCCGUUGAAA